CCAAAAGGUCGAAAGAGCCGUCUGGAUUCUCAUUCUCUAAUCCCUGCGACAAAUAAACUUGAUGCUCAUUUAGAUGGGAAAUAUCAUCUACAUUUUCCCCUUGAGUACCCCUGAAGUCAGUCCACGAUUUAAGAGAUGUUAAGCCAGCAGCUCUUUUAGACGCCUGUGAUGUGGACGAAGUUGGGGUUGGAAUAUUUGGCCUAGCAUGCUCUAACGCCUGUUUAUAAGCAUUAUANNN
rnacentral:lncRNA from 1 species